AACUCACGACCAAGCUUCACUAUCAAUUCCUCUGGUUUGGACUCACUCUGCCACUCUCACGUUACGCUCACCCCAGAGUUCUUCUCGUCCUUUCUCUUGCUCAAAUACUCUCUUUCUCUUGAGGUAUAAAUCUUCGCGUCAAUUAGGUACUUAGGUUCGAUUUGGCUUGGAUUUUCCUUCAAGACCCUCGUCAUGAAAUCAUCCUUUUCGGUAGCCCCGCCGGGCUGCGAAUUGGAGGAGGAGCUGGAAUUCACCUUGCACAGAGCUGUGAAUGAUCUGUGCAGCAAAGGACGCGCCCUCUGGUGGAAGUUCCGAUUGCAUUUGAAGGAAUUCUUGUAGGGUUUAGGGAGAUGAACCCUAGAAGUGAAGAGAGUGUCAAUGCUGGUCAUUGUUUCAGUGCAUGAGUCUUGUUGGUUUCAAGAUUGUAAUUCCUUAGUUUUAUGUUGAUAUCCCACAGGCUCUCAUACCGCAGAACUAUUGAUCAAGAUGUUACUGCAUAUACUUAGUAAGCUGCCUCAAGAUUUCAGAACAAGCAACCAUCUUUCAGACCUUGCAGAACAAGCAACCGUCUUUCAGACCUUGCAACUGUGGUGAGUUUAGUACCUUAAAAGCAGUAUGAUGCAGAUACCAUUUUUCAAUAAGUUUCAUGAAAACAAACUGAUGAGUAACCUCCAACAUUGUGAUUCUAAAUCUGAAUGUAUUUUGCCGUAACUUGGUGAAUUACACCUUCCCGAGAAUUACGCAUUUAAAUCAUUAACUUCUAAUAUCUCUCGUGAAUUUAUCUUCUCUUGUAGGUGGAAUAUUUGGGAAGACAGUUUGGUUUAUUGCAGAGUCCCUUGAAAUUUGAUGCACUUCAUUUCCUCUCUCAGAUCUUCUCAUCGAAGUAUUCGGUAAAACACUUCUUCGAAAUGCGUUCCUUUGUUGAAAAGUGUAAAUUCUGCUGGAGUACUUUGAUGUGCUUUUUGUAUUGAGUUUAUGAUUAUUACUUUCAUUGUGAGGACCAUCUGACGAGAUGGUGUAGCUUAGACAUUCAGCUGGCAUAAAAAAUAAUGAAAAUUAUUAGAACUUAGAUAUAAACGCAGGACAAGGAAAGCCAAAAAAACUGUCACUUUCUUCGAACAAGUAGCAAGCUGGUAAGCAGUUACUGGUAACUUUCUUCGAACACAAGUAGCAAGCUGGUAAGCAGUUACUGGUAGGUUUAGAAA
rnacentral:lncRNA from 1 species